rnacentral:tRNA from 1 species
ACUUAAAUAAUUUAAAAAAAAUAUUGAUUUGUGGAGUCAAAAAUAUGAGAUAUAUAUAUCAUUUUAAGUU